CCCAAUGUGGGGCUUGAUCCCAGGACCCCAGGAUCAUGACCUGAGCCGAAGGCAGAUGCCUAACGACUGAGCCAUCCAGGUGCCCCCAGAGUCAACUUUUUGAAAAGCUAGGUGUUGCUGUGCAGCCUCCUGGAUUCUUAAGAGAAUGAAGAUACCACAAGUAGGCACAGAGAUAGGCAGAGAGAGAGAGAGGGAAAGC